rnacentral:RNase_P_RNA from 1 species
UCAGCAAGAUGAGUGAUUGCUCCUUACGAAAGGAGAGGAAAGUCCGAACACCAUCCCGCCAUACAUUUAAUUUUAUAUGAAGGGCGGGAUAAAAUAAUAGUGGCUAACAGCCACCCAUAGCAAUAUGCGAGGUGCGAACAGUGACGUACAAAAUCGAAAGAUUUUGUAUUCCCAGUUUUGGGAAAAUUCUGCAGUAAUGCAGAAGUGAAACGGCUAAAUCCUUAUUGGGUGCAAGAACAAAGUCCCGCCAUUCAUUUAAGGUUAACAGGAAAAACCUGAAAAAUUUCAUGUUUGAAUAUGAAAUUUUUAUCUCAAAAGAUGGAGGGCGGGAUUAAAAGUAGUUCGCUUGACCCCGAUGGCAACAUUGAGGGCAGAUAGAUAAUCACAUAAAACAGAAUUCGGCUUAUAGUCUUGCUGGGGUA